UACAGAGGGUGCGAGCGUUGUCCGGAAUCACUGGGCGUAAAGGGCGCGUAGGCGGCCCGGUAAGGUUGCGGUGAAAGCCCGGGGCUCAACCCCGGGUCGGCCGUGGCAACUGCUGGGCUGGAGCACAGUAGAGGCGGGUGGAAUUCCGGGUGUAGCGGUGGAAUGCGUAGAGAUCCGGAAGAACACCGGUGGCGAAGGCGGCCCGCUGGGCAGUUGCUGACACUGAGGCGCGACAGCGUGGGGAGCAAACAGG
rnacentral:rRNA from 1 species